GGCCCCAUCGUCUAGCGGCCCAGGACAUCAGGUUCUCAUCCUGGAAACACCGGUUCGACUCCGGUUGGGGCCA
rnacentral:tRNA from 1 species